rnacentral:rRNA from 1 species
CAAUAGCGUAUAUUAAAGUUGUUGCAGUUAAAAAGCUCGUAGUUGGAUUUCUGGUGGGAGCGAUCGGUCUGGCGCUUAGCGCGAGUACUUGCAUCGUCUCCGGCCAUCCUUGGGGAGAGUCUGUCUGGCAUUAAGUUGUCGGGCAGAGGAUCCUCAUCGUUUACUGUGAAAAAAUUAGAGUGUUCAAAGCAGGCUUAUGCCGUUGAAUAUAUUAGCAUGGAAUAAUAAGAUAGGACUUUGGUACUAUUUAGUUGGUUUGCGCACCAAAGUAAUGAUUAAUAGGGACAGUUGGGGGUAUUCGUAUUCCGUUGUCAGAGGUGAAAUUCUUGGAUUUACGGAAGACGAACUACUGCGAAAGCAUUUACCAAGGAUGUUUUCAUUAA